rnacentral:rRNA from 1 species
UGGGGAAUAUUGCGCAAUGGGCGAAAGCCUGACGCAGCAACGCCGCGUGGGGGAUGACGGCCUUCGGGUUGUAAACCCCUUUCAGCAGGGACGAAAAUGACGGUACCUGCAGAAGAAGCCCCGGCCAACUACGUGCCAGCAGCCGCGGUAACACGUAGGGGGCGAGCGUUGCCCGGAUUUAUUGGGCGUAAAGAGCUCGUAGGCGGUUGCGUAAGUCGGAUGUGAAAACUCAGGGCUCAACCCGGAGACGCCAUUCGAUACUGCGCUGACUAGAGUCCGGUAGAGGAGCAUGGAAUUCCUGGUGUAGCGGUGAAAUGCGCAGAUAUCAGGAGGAACACCAGCGGCGAAGGCGGUGCUCUGGGCCGGUACUGACGCUCAGGAGCGAAAGCGUGGGUAGCGAACAGGAUUAGAUACCCCUGUAGUCC